CAGCCGCCGCGGUAAUACGAAGGGGGCUAGCGUUGCUCGGAAUGACUGGGCGUAAAGGGCGCGUAGGCGGUUUUCCAAGUUAGAUGUGAAAUUCCUGGGCUCAACCUGGGGGCUGCAUUUGAUACUGGGAGGCUUGAGUAUGGAAGAGGGUCGUGGAAUUCCCAGUGUAGAGGUGAAAUUCGUAGAUAUUGGGAAGAACACCGGUGGCGAAGGCGGCGACCUGGUCCAUAACUGACGCUGAGGCGCGAAAGCGUGGGGAGCAAACAGGAUUAGAUACCCGGGUAGUCCCUGUCUCUUAUAC
rnacentral:rRNA from 1 species